UACAGAGGAGCCAAGCGUUGUCCGGAUUGACUGGGCGUAAAGCGCACGCAGGCGGACGCGCGCGUGGGGUGUGAAAUCUGGCCGCUUAACGGCCAGGCGCCAUCCCAUACGGCGCGUCUGGAGCAAUGCAGAGGUCGGUGGAAUUGCCGGUGUAGUGGUGAAAUGCGUAGAUAUCGGAAGGAACAUCAGUGGCGAAAGCGACUUCCUGGACCAAUACUGACGCUCAUGUGCGAAAGCGUGGGGAGCAAACAGG
rnacentral:rRNA from 1 species